UACGAAGGGGGCUAGCGUUGCUCGGAAUUACUGGGCGUAAAGCGUGCGCAGGCGGUUGUGCAAGACAGAUGUGAAAUCCCCGGGCUCAACCUGGGAAUUGCAUUUGUGACUGCACGGCUAGAGUGUGUCAGAGGGGGGUAGAAUUCCACGUGUAGCAGUGAAAUGCGUAGAGAUGUGGAGGAAUACCGAUGGCGAAGGCAGCCCCCCUGGGAUAACACUGACGCUCAUGCACGAAAGCGUGGGGAGCAAACAGG
rnacentral:rRNA from 1 species